ensembl:lncRNA
AGAUAGAUAGAUAGAUAGAUAGAUAGAUAGAUAAAUAGAUAGAUAGAUAGAUAAAUAGAUAGAUAGACGUUUGUAGUUUCGUUUAAAAACCCUUACUUAUUUGUUUUAAUAACCAUAGUUUGUGCUCAGAGUGUGUCUUUCAUGUAGUCUACGUAGUGCGCUCGGAAUGUGUGUAGACCUGUUUUAUAGUUUAUAGUGUAGACGCAGGCUACGUGAGCGCGUAGUGGGCGGAGUUUCUCCGCAAGCCCCGCCCCACGCUCCGCCGAACACAAACUUCUUUUCUUUCUCAGCUCAGAGGCGCAGAAGUCAGUCACGCAGCGUGACGUAACGCAGGAGCCGCGCUUUCACUCUCGUGUCUGUGCGCUGGAGAGGGUUCUGCUGUGUCGUGAGCUCUCCUCCGCGCGUGUGAGAGUGUUUUGUGAGUGUGUGAGUGUGUGUGUGUGUGAGUGAGCUGCAGUCAUGGCUGUGGACGGAACAGACCAGCGCGCGCUGCAGUAUGAGCAAACUUUGGAGCACACAGACACACCUGUGUACAUGAAAACACACAGACCCGCCGCGUCACUACAGUACCUGAGUUCUGAGAAGAGAGGCGUGGAUUCAGUGAAAGUCUUCCUUUCACAAGGAUCAGGGUGUCUUGAUAACCUCUGGAAGACUCUGUCUGCAUUCCUGCACAAGCCAUUGUGACACACACACACUGUUAAUACUCGCACACAACAGUCUUUAGAAAGAACAGAUUUUAUCUGUGUUAUGGAUUUGCAUGGAUCUGAUGUCAGAGUUUCAUGUGCAUACACUAUUAUUAAUAUUUAAAAACAAAAAGAAAUGUAAAACAUUUCUUACAGUUACAACAUCAGUAUUAUCUACUUGUGAGAUGUACUCUUUAAACUGAUAAGAUUUCAGAUGUCAGAAUUGAUAAAAUAGCACUUUUCAGAGUAGUUUCAGAUAUUUCCUGUGUGUGUGACCGAGUGUGUGUGACCGAGUGUGUGUGUGUGUGUGUGUGUGUGUGUGUGAGUUUGUGAGAGUGAGUGUGUGUGUGUGUGUGUGUGUGUGUGUGUGUGAGUUUGUGAGAGUGAGUGUGUGUGUGUGUGUGUAUGUUUGUGAGAGUGUGUGUGUGCGUGUGUGAGUUUGUGAGGGNNNNNNNNNNNNNNNNNNNNNNNNNNNNNNNNNNNNNNNNNNNNNNNNNNNNNNNNNNNNNNNNGUGUGUGUGUGUGUGUGUGUGUGUUAACUAGGGCUGGACAAUUAAUCGAAAAGUAAUCGAAACCGAAAUUCAGAACCUCUAACCGACGUAAUUUUCCCAUGUCGGUUAUUUCGGUUUUUUAAUCCUGUUAAUACUUCCCCCUUAAAAGCAUUCUACCGCGUGUAGCCACAUGACUCUGCCCCGUCCAGUCAGUGGCAUAAAAGCAAAACACGGAGGAGAACGCCGGUUCAACACAUAGUGAUGGCGCUCGAGCGGUGAGCCUUGCGUCUUCACUAAACUUUGUCAGUUGUAUUUGUUUUAUGGUUCGGACACUCAAGCGAUUAGACGAUCGGAUGUGUAUUAUUAUAUCGAGCUCCCAUGUUCACGCAGCUGCAUUGUGGCACAAACACUCAUAUAAACAGUAGCUGUGAAGAUCGCGCGCACAGAGGAACGCAGAAACUAGUUGUCAGCGCUGUCCUAUGAUUUAUCACUAAAGUAGCUUAGAAUCUCAAAACUUAUUAUAGAAUAUUUUUCUACUUUUGAAGGAACUAGGCUAUUUACAACCCACAGCUUCACAAUUAAUAUAGAGACGGUGUGACUAAUUCACACACGCAAUCACUCGUACUCGUACUGUGCUAAUUUAUCUUUAUCUGAUCUUUAUUUAUCUCUUACACCGAGCAAUAAUCUGUAAGAAAUGUUACGAACAUAGAUAAGCUAACUGCUGAUAGUGAACUAUGAUGUCAGAUCGCUCUUUCAACAGGAAAAAAUAUCCCACCUUUAAUAGUCAAUCAUAUUUACAGUACAAACCUUGUCAGUGAACUAUGAGGGCAAAAAAAAAAAAAAACUGAAACAAAAUAAAUGUUCAUUAAUCGUAAUCGAGGUAAAAUGU